CUGAUGACCAUGGCAGUGAUGACUGGCUCCCAUCCGGAGUAGAGCAGUGUGCGGCUGGCUGGGUGCUUGGAGGAGAUGACGAUCCACAGGGGGGUCAGACAUAAGAAGAAGGCGCACACCAGCGACGACACAUACGGCAGAGAGGCUAUGAAAGCUGUGGCCACGCUGCUGGAGCAGAGGAGCACAGCAUGGCUCAUCUGGAACUUCCCCUCUGGGAUCCAACCGAGAACUACGGCUGCUACAGCAGCAAGGAAGCCCACCACAGUUGCCUGCACCUAGAGCAAAGAAAAGAGCAAAAUGUAUUAUUGUAACCCGAUUAGUAAAAUGUGGGCAAUGCCGUGUAUAAACACUGAACAUGUGCAGGUAUAUUUCAAUGAUUCGCAAUUGUUGAAUACAGUUGCUAACAGGCAGUAAUAACCACAGAGUAAGGAGUGUUGUGUGCGUGUCUCUUAUGAGUUUAUCAGUAUAUCUGAUGAUCAUUAGCAGAGGUUGUAGUGUCACAGAAGGUGAUAGCAAAAGUGGAUAGAUUAUCCAUUUCGUUAGCCAUCAUCAUUGGGGUUGCAGCACUUAACAGAGAGAGGAAUAUUUUGUUCAAGGACCAAAGGGUAACUAGAACAUUAUUUCUGAUUUCAUGGAAAUUGUGACAUUGGCUCCCCAUCUAAGUAUAUUGGUAUGACAAGGUCAACACCUUUGUAUUUUGUAUUUGUACUCACACCUCUUACGGACAGAAAUGCAGAAAAGUUCAAAUAUAUUCAAGUGCAAUUGCUCAUUUAAAAAUUGGAUUGUCUGACAUGAAAUAUGUCAGCCUAUUUGAGGCAAUACAUGUGUUUGUGAAUACCUGCUUGAGUGCCAGGUUGCCUAUGAUUAGAUUCCACUUCUCUAUUGGAGAAUCCAUCUUGCCAACGUUCACCUGUGCAGGGACAGAAUAAAAAUAAAGAAUACAGCGUUUUCCCUUA